GACGAACGCUGGCGGCGUGCUUAACACAUGCAAGUCGAGCGGUAAGGCCCUUUCGGGGGUACACGAGCGGCGAACGGGUGAGUAACACGUGGGUGACCUGCCCUCAGCUCUGGGAUAAGCCUGGGAAACCGGGGUCUAAUACCGGAUAUGACUCCAUGACGCAUGUUGUGGGUGGAAAGCCUUGUGCGGCUGAGGAUGGGCCCGCGGCCUAUCAGCUUGUUGGUGGGGUGAUGGCCUACCAAGGCGACGACGGGUAGCCGGCCUGAGAGGGCGACCGGCCACACUGGGACUGAGACACGGCCCAGACUCCUACGGGAGGCAGCAGUGGGGAAUCUUGCGCAAUGGGCGAAAGCCUGACGCAGCGACGCCGCGUGAGGGAUGACGGCCU
rnacentral:rRNA from 1 species